rnacentral:lncRNA from 1 species
AAAAUAGGUUCACCCUUGCUGUUUGAUUCUGGAAAACAAAGAAUUAAUAUUCAAAGAAAUUGAACACAACCAUUUACGAUCGAAAGGCCACCAAAUCUCGCUAACAUAAUUCAACCAAGAUCUCCCGAGAAGAAUGUGAGACCGCCACCUGCGAAGACUGCUCCUCCAGGCUCCUCCUCACCUCCGCCACCGCUGCUGCCCUGGCAUCAGCCACCUCGUCUGUUCUCUUCUUCAUAUUAGACACCUCAAGGCUCUUACUCAAUCUGCAUGUCUCCGUUGGUGACCUUGGCGUUGUGGGUGCCAACAACAUUUUGGAUGCCCUCAGCGGUGAUGCCGGUAACUUGGCUGAGAAAUUCCUUAUCGGAAGUUCCUCGUCCCCAUUGACAACUUGGUUAGAAUCGUCAAAGUUGAGGGCAUAACUGAGAGGAUCGUAGCUAAAAUCAGCAGAUGCAUGGCGCCUAUGGCGGCGCUUGCAUUUCCCUUUGAUGUCCAUAUGGUCAUUAGGCUUUGAGCAAAUCCAUAUAGAUGACAACCUUCUUGGACUUGGCAUGGAAGAGGAAGAUGAAGAGGCAUCUAAUGAGAAUCCACGGCGGUGUUGGGAUCCAUUGAAGCAAGAGGUAAGGCUCAUAGAGGAUUUCUUGAGCCUCAACCUCAAACUCGACAUCUCGUGCUCGUCCUCCAUUUUUGGCUUGAGGGAAAGAGAUUAUUUGUGGUAUUUGAGACAAAAAGAGUCAAUUCUUGAGGUAGAAGAAUUGUGGGAUGCAUGAGAACAUUGAAUUCUACAUAUAUGUGUUUGGAAGGUCAAAAAUGAAGAAAAUUGGUUUUUCUCUUUUUUUAUGGUCCACCAAAAGAAAUGCGAGAAACCAGAGGAAUUUGUGGACUGAAUUGAGAUUUCUAAAAAUGCCUCUAUACUAAUUGUGACACUUCUUUCUGGUCCUUCAAAUUAUUCUUUCUGGUCCUUCAAAUUAUACUUCGUCCCUGUUGGCUUUAUAGCUUACAAUUGAGUUAACCACCAAGAUAAGCCGUACGAAUAAUUACACAAAAACUUGGAUUUCCAAUAUAUUGAAUGCAUCAGAAGGAAUGCUUAGAAUAUGUUUCGAAUAUAUCAGAAGAAGCUGAUGACAAAGAGAGCAAUACCUCUACGUGCAAGUAUAACUUGUUUUCUACUGAAGAGCAACAUAAAUAAGGCAUGAUUUGCAGGUAAGACAACCCGAGUCAGUCAAAAAUUCUCUCCCCAGUGGAGAAUAGAAGAAACAAAAUUGAACUCAAGAUACAAAGUGACCCUGGGAUGAGAAAAACUGCUCUCCAGCUAUCUGGACUAGUGAGAUCCAACUGAGCAGAUUUAGCGGCUUCAAGAAGUCGACCAGUAAGAUCAACCCCAACUAUGCCAGCUAAAGUACCAGCUGUGUUAGAAACCCCCAUUACAAUUCCAGCAUACCUUGGAGCAAUAUCCAUGUGAUUUACUGCAAAUCCAGCUCUCCCCAGUGCCAAGAAACCAAGAGCCACAGAAGAACAAAACACAACUCCAUCAGGUGUUCUGAACCUGGGAAGAGCCAUUAAUGCAAAAGAAGCCACCACAAAUCCUAUGGUAUUUAAAAGCUUUCUUGUUCUAGUCACAGACAAGACUUUCCUGGUAAUCAAGUGAUCAGCAAUCACCCCACCGAUAUUUGAGAACAGAAACAUGUUGAAAUAAGGCAUCAUCUUAGAAGAUCCCAUGUUUUCAAGACUAAGCUGAAGGCCCAAUUCAAAGUAUGUUGGGAGCCAGUUCAUGAGAACGUAAAGAGCAUAAUGGAAAGUGAAAUUAUUCACCACAAUUGCCCAAACUGGCAAACUGAAAAUAAUUUUCUUCCAUGGAAUUUUUGGGGUUCUGUUGGAAUGUCCUCCAUUCUCAACUUUCGUCUUUUGGUUCCCUUUAAUUGGCAGCAAUAAUUCUCCAAAUCCAGCAGCAGUGGCUUUUGGAUGCUCAGAACGAGGUGGGUCAACGGCAUACUUAAACCAAAGUAGAGACCAAAUGGAACCUAAAGCAGCUUCAGCAAGAAAUACCGAUUGCGGACCUCGAAACUUGACCAGGCUAGGAAGCACAAGCAUUCCUGCGGCUGCACCAAAAUACAUCCCCGAAGUUGUCAGAGAAACGGAUCUUGAUCUUUCAUGUGGUGGUACCCAUUGUGCCAGUAUAGUGUGAAUGGAGGGAAAGAUGAAGCCUUGGGCAACUCCGACAAGCAAGCGGGAUAUGACCAAUAUCGUAACUCGGUUCAGAUCAAGUGGCAUAAAAGCACAAGUUAUAGACCAUAAAACAAAUGAAAGUAAGAGAAUACGCCUUCCCCCAAUUUUCUGGGCCGCCCAACCACCCGGAACUUGUGAACACACAUACCCAUAAUAGAAUGUCGAAAGUAUCAUGCCCUUGCUCGAUUGAUUUACUCCUGAGGCAUCAGCAGCAGCAGUAUAUGCAAUGGAAAAACCCACACGUUCUAUGUAGCAGACAGAAGUACAGAUGAAGGUCAAAAUGACAAUCACGUAGCGCUUUGGAAUGUUUGUUCUCUUCAUUCUCUUCAUUCUCUUUUGGGUUUAUGAAAAGAAAUCAUAUAGAUAUGGACGACUCAAAUACUUAACAAACUAUCUGUAACUUUACAUGUCUUUGAUUUUUACCGAAAUGAUUCCAAAACAACAGCAGCAAUUCCAAGACUCCAGAAGCAGCCAAACUAGAAGCCCUUCCUGGAUUAAAAAAUUGAACAGGAUAUAUUAUCAAGAAG